ensembl:lncRNA
CCACCUGCUGCUUUGGCAUGUUCAUAGCAGCGUUUUCCUUCAUUUCUGCCUUUAUGUGUGGACGGGAUUAUUUUUUAAAACGAAAACGGAAAAUCUCAGUUUUCUUUUUUUUUUUUUUUUUUUUUUCUUAAGUGACAUCAGAAACAGCAGCAUGUGACAUCACGUGAUGGCGGAGCUUCAGUUCAUCCUUUGUCAUCUUUUUUUUAUUUUUUAUUUAUUUUUUUAUAGGACAGGGGGAAAGAAUGAAAGAAAGAGGGGGAGAGAAAGAAAGAAAACCAAAGGGGAGAAGAGAUGGUGAGAAGGGGGGGAAGAGAGAAAAAAAAACAAACAACAAAAAAAACUCCUGGGUCACCUGUAUGGAGAAAAACAAACAAACAGAGGAGACAGCAAACAACAAAGAGCAACAUAAUAAUAGAAAAAAAAGGCACCAUCACAAUAAACUAGCUAGUCAUAGAUAUCAAUAGUUACUAAAUAAUAGACGAUAUUGUUCAGCAUGCAAGAUAGACAGCGCACAGUGUGCUUUGAGGCAGCAGCCAAGAAAGCUUUAGUCCGCGUCUGUGAAUACCCAUGUGUACACCUGUGUGCAUACCUGUGUGGAUCAGCAUGCUUGCAUUCCAAAGGUUUCUCCAUGUAAUGAUCUGCUAGGGAGUGUGGGGAGCCACAGCCCUGUCCUUUAUGGGAUCAAGCGGGUAUGGAGGCGAUCAAAACUCCAGACAUCCAGAGGCCCCCAGAACACAAGAGACCAAGGAAGACCCACAGAGGGGCCGCUGCGCCACUGUCCCAGUAAGAGCUAAGGAGAGUCCCAGAUGAGGGCUCAUUCAGCAGCCGCGGAGCAGAAGCCAGGGGGAGUUGCAGUGAUGCGCCCGUGGGCCCAUCCAGACCGGGGCCCAGUGCAGCAGCGCCCCCCGGCCCCACAGAGCCCGGGACAGUCCACCCAACCCCACCACAGAGAAAACUGCACCCACCCCACCAUCCACUCAUCAUCCAGACUACAUGAGACAAUAGACGCCCAGGCUGAGAUCUUCCUCCACCUCUCCUGUAUCUCCCCCUCCUGCAG